UGGGGAAUAUUGCACAAUGGGCGCAAGCCUGAUGCAGCCAUGCCGCGUGUAUGAAGAAGGCCUUCGGGUUGUAAAGUACUUUCAGCGGGGAGGAAGGGAGUAAAGUUAAUACCUUUGCUCAUUGACGUUACCCGCAGAAGAAGCACCGGCUAACUCCGUGCCAGCAGCCGCGGUAAUACGGAGGGUGCAAGCGUUAAUCGGAAUUACUGGGCGUAAAGCGCACGCAGGCGAUUUGUUAAGUCAGAUGUGAAAUCCCCGGGCUCAACCUGGGAACUGCAUCUGAUACUGGCAAGCUUGAGUCUCGUAGAGGGGGGUAGAAUUCCAGGUGUAGCGGUGAAAUGCGUAGAGAUCUGGAGGAAUACCGGUGGCGAAGGCGGCCCCCUGGACGAAGACUGACGCUCAGGUGCGAAAGCGUGGGGAGCAAACAGG
rnacentral:rRNA from 1 species